CAAUUGCUUAUAAUCUUUUUGGUAUAAAUAGUUGUUAGUGGCAGACGGGUGAGUAAUGCGUAGGGAUCUACCUAGUAGUAUGGAAUAGCCAUUAGAAAUGAUGGGUAAUACUGUAUAAUCCCUGCGGGGGAAAGAUUUAUCGCUAUUAGAUGAGCCUACGUUAGAUUAGCUAGUUGGUAAGGUAAUGGCUUACCAAGGCUAUGAUCUAUAGCUGGUCUGAGAGGACGAUCAGCCACACUGGAACUGAGAUACGGUCCAGACUCCUACGGGAGGCAGCAGUGGGGAAUAUUGGACAAUGGGCGAAAGCCUGAUCCAGCUAUGCCGCGUGAGUGAAGAAGGCCUUCGGGUUGUAAAACUCUUUCAAUAGGGAAGAUAAUGACGGUACCUAUAGAAAAAGUCCCGGCAAACUG
rnacentral:rRNA from 1 species